GAUGUAUCACCAAUCCUAGGACAUAGGCACCCUCAUGUUACAUACAGGGAAACUGAGGCACAGAGGGAUCAAAUGGAUUGCCUACAGCCAUGCAGUUAAGAAGUGGCACAGCCAGGAUGUGGACACAGGUGGUCUGGGGGGUUGAAUUGCCCCCUACCUUGUUCUUCCACAUAAGGAUUGAUGUCUGGGUCCAGAAGGGGAAGGUCAUAGAGUUUCUCUAGGUUCCUCCUGGAAGUUGCUAUCCAUUCUCAAGGCCUGAGAUGGGGCCCCUCCUCUGUAUCUCCUCUCUGUGCCCAGUGCAUUGAGUGCCUCACACAAAUUGGAAUCUGAAUACAUCCUAGUUGUUUCCUUUUCUUUCGUUGAAGAAAGCGAUUCUUUAAUUCUCCACGUGGUGCAGUUUUUGGAGGGAGUUAUCCUUCCUCACUAGAAAAUUCACCAAGGAAGGGAAACCUGGCCAAGUUUUUAAUCAGAAAGAACCACAUACAGCAUGUCUAAAUUAUCUCCAGUUCUCGGUGAAUGGGUCCAAAGCAACGUGGUUGGCUGUUCUCCAGCCCAAUCUUAGGAGCACCCAGUAACAGAGUGUCUGGUCAAUGGGUGUCUGGGAUUUCCAGCAACUUCCCAGAUUUUUAGGUGGAGAAACUGAGGGCCUAGGCCUGGGGUCUAGAACAUUCUUAAGCCUAUACGUGCACUGUUCAGGGAGAUAAAAAUCAGUGGGUUCCUCUCCUGUCACCAUGGCCUGUGCCAUCUCGGGCUUGGCUGGACGGAUCUGCACAGCAGUCUGCUCUGAGCCGUCCACCUGGUGCCCUGACCAAGAAGGGGCAGGAAACCUGAUCAGUCUUAGCUAGCCAUGCACGUUUGUGUGGCCCUGGGCAGCUCCCAGCUCCUCUCUGGGCCUGUCAUUUGCUCCCUGAAUUCCCUUCUAGGAAUUUAGAGAGGGGUUAAAGUGGAAUGUCAGGUUCUCGGGAAGCCUGUAUUUGUUUCUAGCCUUGCCAAAUCUCUUUCUCAAUCUGAGCCUCAGUUUCUUCAUCUGUGUAGUGGGACUCAUAAGAGAUACUGUGAGGAAUCAACGGGAUGAUGUGUGUAAAGACUUCUAAGCAUGGGGCUCAGCUCCACUGAAUGUUGAGGAAGGUGCUUCAUCUUGUUCUAUGGUUUGAACCGGAAGUCACACUCCAGUGGUCUGCGGUGGUCUGUUUUGCUUGAUCCACCCAGUCUUUUUAAAAUCUAUAGAAUUUGUUGACAACAUUUCAAGAUUGGGAAAUUUCACAGAUUAAGAUCCCCAGGUUUUCUUAAAAAAUGGGGAGAUUUGGCAACAGGGUACCCGCGUUCUCUGGGGGGGAAGGGUUACCUCUACACAUCUUGAACGGCUCACGCAUGUCCCUACAAUCCCCUAACACAGAGCCAGGGGUUUCUGAGCAUCCUACUAUGGGUCAGGAGCUGUGCCUACAUAGUGCAUUGAAUCCUUACCAUAAGUUAUAAACACGCUUAUUUGGCCAACAAUGAAGUAGAGGCUCAGAGAGUUGGGAUGAGUUGCCAAGGUCACGGUGUUAGCAGAUGGUACAGCCAGGACUCCCAAAUAGGACCUCCGUCACUUUUCUCUAUUUGGGCUCUCUUUCCACUUCAGCCUAGCUUUGGGUCCAUGGAGAAACCCUACUUAUGACCGGUUGAUGGACUGAUGGAAGAUUAAGCAUGUGAUGUCAAUGUCUAUGGUUCCCAUCCUGAACCUUCAGAUCCUCGAGGCUGUGGAGUUAGGGUAGGGGUCCAGGAAUCAACGUGCACACCUAGAGUUCAUGGAAUAAAACUCUCCUGCCUACAUAAGAUGACUGCAGCUUAACAUUUUGAAAUAAACAUUAUGAAAAUGUUCAGGGGUGCCUGGGUGGCUCAGUUGGUUAAGCAUUCGACUCUUGGUUUCAGCUCAGGUCAUGAUCUCAGGGUUGUGGGAUCAAGCCCUAGAUCAGGCUCCAUGCACAGCAGGGAGUCUGCUUGGGAUUCUCGCUCUCCUUUCUGACUCUCCCCUGCUCUCUCUCUUUCUCUCAAGUAAAUAAAUAAAUCCUAAAAAAAAGAAAAUGUUCAAAUACUUACUAUAGAAGACAGUAAUAGUAUAGUAAACCCCCAUGCUGAAUCAUCCAGAUUCAGCAAUGACCAAAAUUUGGUCUCAUUUGCUUCAUCUACUCUUUUUUUGUUUCUCUUUUCCUUUUUUUUUUUUUUUAAGAUUUUAUUUAUUUAUUUGACAGAGAGCGAGAGAGCACAAGCAGGGGGAGCAGUAGAGGGAGAGGGAGAAGCAGGCUUCCCGCGGAGCAGGGAGCCCGAUGCGGGGCUCAUCCCAGGACCCUGGGAUCGUGACCUGAGCCGAAGGCAGAUGCUUAACCAUCUGAGCCACCCAGGCACCCCUGUUUCUCUUUUCCUUUUCUUUCUUUAAUCUUUGUUUUUUUGAAGAUUUAAUUAAUUAGAGAGAGCACAUGAGCACGAGUGGUGGGGAUGGGCAGCGGGAGAGGGAGAAACAGACUCCCUCCUGAGCAGGGAGCUCAACAGGGGGCUCAAUCCCAGGACCCUGGGAUCAUGACCUGAGCUGAAGGCAGAUGCUUAACGGGCUGAGCCACCCAGGCGCCCCUGUUUCUCUUUUUAUUUACUGAAUUAUUUCAAAACACAUUCCAGAUAUCUUGUUGUGUCAUCUGAAUAUGUCAGACUAGGUCUCUAAGACCAGUGGGGUGCUGGAGCCAGCUGGUUCCGGCUGCUCAGAGCUGACCGUGCGCACCUCUUCUCAAUUCCGAGUUCAGCCACGUGGUGUCGGUAGUGCAAAUCUGCCGCGUGGGAGUAUUUACACCACGGAAAUCAGCAAACACUGCACAACAGGGUUCCCCUACAACUCUCCACCCCAUCAGGGGUUAAACAUUUAUUAGUACGCCACUGUCCGAAACACAUGGACAUUUUCUUAUACAACCACCGUGCGAUGAUGUCACCUACUGAAAUUACUGUUUACAUUCUAAGCAAAUGUCCACGACGGUUUCAAAGACGCCUGUUUCUGGAUGGUUUGUCUGAUCAGCAUUCAGACAAGCUCCACCUCUGACGUUUGGGUGUUACGUCUCUUGAUUUGUUUAAACCUAGAGCAGGCCCCUCUGUCCCCCAUCUGUGGCAUUUGUAUGCCCUUGAUUGUUGCGGACGGCAGGUUGGCCGAUCCGUUCUGCUGGCUGCAUGUUCGGUAAGCUACUGUGCCCCUCUUUCCCCUUAUCUCCUGUCUUUAAAGUCUGAAUAGAUUCAGCCUAACUUGGUUGGCUGGUUGGUUUUUUUUGGAGGGGGGCCAGAAGGCUUCAUCGAGGGAGCUGGAUUCAACGUUCACCUUUUCAAUGCUUGCGGAUGAUUUGUGACAGAUGAAACGCAGAGCCACGGAAAAGCAUUUUUGAAUUUGUGAUGGCCUUUUGUUACCUCGCCAACCACAUAUACUACAAGGAAAGCCACGGUGGAAUCUUUUGCUAGAAGGAAGGGCCAUCAAAGUCAAGGAAGCCGGCCCCUCUGAUUGGGCCUCACCAGCCUGCGCAGGUCUUUCUACAUUCCGGUCUCAGGGAUGAAGAACUGCCUUCGGGAGUUCAUUCCACGAUGCUGUCACUUGGACAGCCAGAUACUCCUACCUCAUGUCUAAAUGCAGUCUUUCUUGCUUUCAGUGAAGCCCAUUUUCUCUGCCUGGAACCUUGGCAUAUCUUAACCUCCCCUCUCUCGAGUCUCUUCUGGCAUGGGGAGAAAAACAAACUGAAAUGUUCUGUGGUUCUAGGUUCUGGAUCCUGUCCUGGACGUGGUAAUCAUUUCCCCUUGGAGUGGUUUGAACCUUGCUCUGUCCCCAGCCCCAGGAGGCGCUGUGCAUACCUUUUCCACACCCCUGAAGGAUGGGGGUCCUCACGGGCCAGGGCACAGGGCAUCUGUCCUGAGAUCCCCCUGUGCAUCCUCGCUCGCAGGUCUGGGGUCUUGUCUACUGACCAGCCUCAAGUUGUGGCUUUGGUUCCUAACAGGGCCCCUGUUCUUGCCUGUCCUUUCCGUCCUUCCUGUCGGGAUCGAAUCCUGGAAGCUGGUUCCUCUUCACCUUCGUCCUCGUGUCCGCUCCUGACGCCACUCACUGACUCAGCUGGGAGCUUGCUCCUUCCUUCCAGAAACAGGGAACUGUGGUGAAAAAUGCGUGUCGUGGCCGAGCACUCUGCUUGAAUCUCCGAGAUGGCCUGAGCUAGAAGGGACACCAUUUCCUCUGGGAAGCAGAGCCAUGUCUGGGGAACAUGGAAGCUUCCUUAGUGUUAUGCCUCAUGCCAGGAGUUUGAGUCUGAGCCUGUGUUCAAGCCGCCGUCAGAACUCAACCUAGGAAAUGAGCUCCUCAGGGUGGGAAGGCCCUGUCAGACCGUCCCUUGCACGUGCAGUGGGCGUGGGUGGUGUGAACUCGACUUUUCCUCAAAGCUCCUCCCAUGCUGUCAUUCAUCAGGAUCAAGCAAUUUACUGCCUCACACCCAUUAGGACGGCUGUUAUCAAAACCCAGAAAUAACAGGCGCUGGCAAGGAUGUGGAGGAAUUGGGACCCGUGCGCAGGGCUGGCUGGGAGUGUGAAGAGGCGCCGCCAGCAUGAAAGAUAUGGCAACUCCUCAAGAAGUUAAACAUAGACUUGCGAUACGAUCCAGCAAAUCCCACUUCAGAGUGCAAACCCCAAAGAAUUGAAAGCAGGGUCUCAAAGGGGUAUUUGUACAUCCAUGUUCAUGGCGUGCUUUUCAUCACAGCCCGAUGGUGGAAGCAGCCCAGGCGGCCAUGACAGAUGAAUGGCUAAAUGGAGUGUGGUCCAUCCAUACCACGGAAUAUCAUUCAGCCUUACGAAGGAAGGAAAUCCUGACACCUGCUACAACAUGAACGGAUUUUGAAGACAUGAUGCUCAGUGAAAUAAGCCAGUCACAAAAAGCAAGUGGCAUUGUAUAAUUCCACUUAAAGGAGGUCCCAAAAGUCCUCAAAUUCAUAGAGACAGAAAGUAGAAUGGGAGGCGGGGAUGAAGUUAACAUUUAAUGGGGACAGAGUUUCAGUUGUGGAAAAAGAAGACAUUGUGGACCUGGACGGUGGAGGUGGUUGCACAACAAGGUGAACUGAUUAACGCCACAGAACUCUUAAAAGUGGUAUUUUUGGGGGACCGAUCCUUCGCAAGGAUGGCUGUGAUCUUGGUGAUGAAAAAGUCCUGUGCCCUUUUGAGAAGCUUUGCAUCCUCUCCGGGAGCCUCUGGCCCAGAGGUGAGGGAAGGAUUGCUAAUCCCAGUUUACAGAGGUAUUGCAUGGUGUUUAAGAAGUGAGGGAGACAAGGAGGAAGAUGCCCCAUGUCUUUGCUCAUGUCAAGCCCACACUGUGAUCUCUCUGACCACCCUCCCUUAGCUUGGCUGCCUCUUGCUCAUCAUUCAAGCUAUAACAUACAGGUCGCGUCUACUAAAAGGCUCCUUGACUGCCCAGACUGGCCCCCUUCUCUGUGCCUCCAGCCCCCUGGGUGGCCCCUGGCAGAGCCUCCAUCACUCUGGAUGGCCUUUGCUUACCGUGUGCACUGAGGAACUUCUAGCUGCACUUUAAAACGGGGUUCCAGCGUGUCUCUCUCCGGGAAGGCUUCUCCCACCCAUAUUCCCGAGGCUGGCCUCAGGACCUGCCCGGGUUCCGCAGCCACCUAUCCUCCCCCGUGUGGCACUUAGCAGCCUGCUUGGUAAUCACAGUGGCACAUGUCCCUUCCCUUGGUGGCUGCAGAGCCUGGGGAGGCCAGGGCUGCAGGUUAUUUACUGUGUAUCUGCAAAGCCCAGUACAAGGGGGUGUGUGAAUGAAGGAGGACUGGUGGGCCGUGGAGUCAGGCAGGGACUUCUGGGCCUGCCCGGGAGGCCUGGGGGCCUGGAGCUCCC